rnacentral:rRNA from 1 species
GAUGAACGCUAGCGAUAGGCUUAACACAUGCAAGUCGAGGGGUAACGUGUUGGAAGCUUGCUUCCGAUGACGACGACCGGCGGAUGGGUGCGUAACGCGUAUGCAACUUGCCUCACAGUGGAGAAUAACCCGGAGAAAUCCGGACUAAUACUCCAUACACUCUUAAGUACGCCUGUACAUGAGGGGAAAGAUUUAUCGCUGUGAGAUAGGCAUGCGUCCUAUUAGGUAGUUGGUGAGGUAACGGCUCACCAAGCCGACGAUAGGUAGGGGUGCUGAGAGGCAGAUCCCCUACAUUGGGACUGAGACACGGCCCAAACUCCUACGGGAGGCAGCAGUGAGGAAUAGUAGUCAAUGGAGGAAACUCUGAACCAGCCAAGUCGCGUGAAGGAAGAAUGUCCUAAGGAUUGUAAACUUCUUUAGCGAGCGAGUAAGGACUUCCACGUGAUGGGAGUUUGAAAGUAGCUCGAGAAUAAGUAUCGGCUAACUCCGUG